UCAAUGUAAACUGGACAAGCUAUAGAAGGAUUUAUAGUAACAUGUGAUGAGAUAUCUUCGAGUUUAGGAUAUCAUCCUGGAAAUACAUUUAUCCUACAGCGAAAUGAUUUUAUAGAACAAAUACGACUCAUAAAGAAAAGAUAAGGUUUUCUCCACGGUUAUUUUUAUGUCCCCCACUAUAGUAGUGGGGGACAUAUUGUUUUUGCCCUGUCUGUUGGUCUGUUGGUCUGUCUGUUUGCGCCAACUUUAACAUUUUGCAAUUACUUUUGCUAUAUUGAAGAUAGCAACUUCAUAUUUGGCAUGCAUGUGUAUCUCAUGAAGCUGCACAUUUUGAGUGGUGAAAGGUCAAGGUCAAGGUCAUCCUUCAAGGUCAGAGGUCAAAUAUAUGUGGCCAAAAUCGUUCAUUUUAUGAAUACUUUUGCAAUAUUGAAGAUAGCAACUUGAUAUUUGGCAUGCAUGUGCAUCUCAUGGAGCUGCACAUUUUGAGUGGUGAAAGGUCAAGGUCAAGGUCAUCCUUCAAGCUCAGAGGUCAAAUAUAUAUGGCCCAAAUCGCUUAUUUUAUGAAUACUUUUGCAAUAUUGAAGAUAGCAACUUGAUAUUUGGCAUGCAUGUGUAUCUCAUGGAGCUGCACAUUUUGAGUGGUGAAAGGUCAAGGUCAAGGUCAUCCUUCACAAGGUCAAGGUCAUCCUACAAGGUCAAACAUCAUAUAGGGGGACAUUGUGUUUCACAAACACAUCUUGUUAGAUAAGGUUUUCUCCACGGUUAUUUUUAGAACAUGUACAUAGGAACUACUUUUUUUGGCCUUUCACCCCUGAUUGCGUCAUUCAGGUCAUUGGGUACGCAGUCGUUUAACGAGUUAACGAGUG